rnacentral:rRNA from 1 species
GUUGAUUCUGCCGGAGGCCACUGCUAUCGGAGUUCGAUUAAGCCAUGCGAGUCGAGAGGUGCAAGACCUCGGCAUACUGCUCAGUAACACGUGGACAACCUAACCUAAGGUGGGGGAUAACCCCGGGAAACUGGGGAUAAUACCCCAUAGGCUAUGAAUGCUGGAAUGCUUCGUAGUUGAAAGGUCAGCCGCCAUAGGAUGGGUCUGCGGCCGAUUAGGUAGUUGUUGGGGUAACGGCCCAACAAGCCUGUAAUCGGUACGGGUUGUGGGAGCAAGAGCCCGGAGAUGGAUUCUGAGACACGAAUCCAGGCCCUACGGGGCGCAGCAGGCGCGAAAACUUUACAAUGCGGGAAACCGUGAUAAGGGAACUCCGAGUGCCCGUUAAAUCGGGCUGUCCACCAGUUUAAAUAACUGGUGAAGAAAGGGCCGGGCAAGACCGGUGCCAGCCGCCGCGGUAAUACCGGCGGCUCGAGUGGUGGCCACUAUUACUGGGCUUAAAGCGUUCGUAGCUGGUUUGUUAAGUCUCUGGGGAAAUCUGCCGGCUCAACCGGCAGGCGUUCCAGGGAUACUGGCAGACUAGGGACCGGGAGAGGUGAGGGGUACUCCAGGGGUAGGAGUGAAAUCCUGUAAUCCUUGGGGGACCACCUGUGGCGAAGGCGCCUCACCAGAACGGCUCCGACAGUGAGGGACGAAAGCUGGGGGAGCAAACCGGAUUAGAUACCCGGGUAGUCCCAGCCGUAAACGAUGCGCGUUAGGUGUAUCGGUGACCACGAGUCACCGAGGUGCCGAAGAGAAAUCGUGAAACGUGCCGCCUGGGAAGUACGGUCGCAAGGCUGAAACUUAAAGGAAUUGGCGGGGGAGCACCACAACGG